CUACUUCACGUAAAAAUAAGCAAUGCCAAAACCCCUUUGAAUUUCACGUGAAAACCCAAAAGAGAAAAAAAAAGGAAAACCCAUCCUUCACAUUCGUAGCUGCUGCCCAGCCGCCGCACCGACCUCCUGCCACCAGCCACCGGCGAGUCGCACCGCCGCGCCGCCACCACGCUGCCACCAGCGUUCGUGGCCUUGUUUCAGCCACCGUGUCGUCGCCUGAACGUUGUCCUUUUGCACGCCACCACCACCACUCGCGGCCGCCGAGCAAGUUCUGCCGCCUCCAGCCGCGCCUCUCACCGCCUCUCACCGCCGGCCACCUUCGUCCUCCCUUCCUUUUGGCGGAGAAUUCCCUUUAGGCGACUUUGAAAGUGUUAAAGUGACCUAUCAAUUUGUUUACACAAGUCCCUAGGGGUCCAUAAGCAUUUUCCAUUGCAGGUUUGAAGAUGAUGAAUCACUGGGGUUCGGGAUCUGGAGAGAUUUGUGUAGUCGUUAUUUUAUUUCAUUUGAAUUUGGUUUUGUUGAACUUCUUUUAAUGGACUCGAAUUUGAUUUGAACUAAUUAAGUCGACUUCGGGUAGUUGACUUAUUUAAAUUAUUAAAGUUAUUUAUUAUA